rnacentral:lncRNA from 1 species
GCCUCUUCAACACUGUUUCUAAACAGACCAAAGCGAGAUUCCAUAUGACACACGUCAUCAAGGAGUUCCAUCGGGUGCAUCCAAAUUGAUUUCCAAGCAUAUGGUAUGUUCCAUGCAUACCGUGCACCUAUCUUGCAUCAAGAUUAGCACUAUCUCCAAACAGACCGGACCGAGCUUCCACUUGAGCCUCUUCAUCUAGGAGUACAAACAGGUGCGUCAAAAAUAGUUUCUUAGACUAUGGUGCAUUAGGCAUAAACUAUGCACCUAUGUUGCAACGAAACUAACAUUAUCUCCAAAC